GAGCGGAUCUUCUCCUUCGGGAGAGGGUUAGCGGCGGACGGGUGAGUAACACGUAGGCAACCUGCCCACAAGACCGGGAUAACAUUCGGAAACGAAUGCUAAGACCGGAUACGCAAGUCUGAGGCAUCUCGGACUUGGGAAACACGGUGCAAGCUGUGGCUUGUGGAUGGGCCUGCGGCGCAUUAGCUAGUUGGUGGGGUAACGGCUCACCAAGGCGACGAUGCGUAGCCGACCUGAGAGGGUGAACGGCCACACUGGGACUGAGACACGGCCCAGACUCCUACGGGAGGCAGCAGUAGGGAAUCUUCCACAAUGGGCGAAAGCCUGAUGGAGCAACGCCGCGUGAGUGAGGAAGGCUUUACGGGUCGUAAAGCUCUGUUGCCAGGGAAGAAUAAGAGCCAUUUAACUGAUGGUUCGAUGACGGUACCUGAGAAGAAAGCCCCGGCUAACUACGUGCCAGCAGCCGCGGUAAU
rnacentral:rRNA from 1 species